rnacentral:rRNA from 1 species
UGGGGAAUUCUGGACAAUGGGCGAAAGCCUGAUCCAGCAAUGCCGCGUGUGUGAAGAAGGCCUUCGGGUUGUAAAGCACUUUUGUCCGGAAAGAAAUCCUUGGCUCUAAUACAGUCGGGGGGAUGACGGUACCGGAAGAAUAAGCACCGGCUAACUACGUGCCAGCAGCCGCGGUAAUACGUAGGGUGCAAGCGUUAAUCGGAAUUACUGGGCGUAAAGCGUGCGCAGGCGGUUUGCUAAGACCGAUGUGAAAUCCCCGGGCUCAACCUGGGAACUGCAUUGGUGACUGGCAGGCUAGAGUAUGGCAGAGGGGGGUAGAAUUCCACGUGUAGCAGUGAAAUGCGUAGAGAUGUGGAGGAAUACCGAUGGCGAAGGCAGCCCCCUGGGCCAAUACUGACGCUCAUGCACGAAAGCGUGGGGAGCAAACAGGAUUAGAUACCCUGGUAGUCCACGCCCUAAACGAUGUCAACUAGUUGUUGGGGAUUCAUUUCCUUAGUAACGUAGCUAACGCGUGAAGUUGACCGCCUGGGGAGUACGGUCGCAAGAUUAAAACUCAAAGGAAUUGACGGGGUCAUAGCUGUUUCCU